CGAAUUUAGUCCCACAUCGGCUGGUAGCGGAAAGGUUCUGUGCCUUAAAUGGGGGGUGGAAAUCCUUUCCUCUCGAGGGCCCUUUUGUGGGACAAAACCGUGAGGGCACCAGUCUCCCCCCGUCUGCGCUGGACGCGCGGGCCGGAGCGCCCAAAGCGGACAAUACCUCGGGAGGAACGCAGUCCUCUUUCUCUGCUAGCUUAAUGUGGGCUAACUGUUGCGUGAGGCUCCGGUCCCAAAGCGCCGUCCCCGCAACAGGAAUAAAUGAGGACAUGAGAGUAAGAAGUGCUUCUUUGUAGAUUAGAAAACCGAAAGAGAAAUAAAAAGGAAAUUUGCU
rnacentral:lncRNA from 1 species